rnacentral:rRNA from 1 species
CUACGGGCCGCAGCAGUGAGGAAUAUUGGACAAUGGAGGCAACUCUGAUCCAGCCAUGCCGCGUGCAGGAAGACGGCCCUAUGGGUUGUAAACUGCUUUUAUACGGGAAGAAACCCAACUACGUGUAGUUGGCUGACGGUACCGUAAGAAUAAGCACCGGCUAACUCCGUGCCAGCAGCCGCGGUAAUACGGAGGGUGCAAGCGUUAUCCGGAAUCAUUGGGUUUAAAGGGUCCGUAGGCGGACUGAUAAGUCAGGGGUGAAAUCCAACAGCUUAACUGUUGAACUGCCUUUGAUACUGUUAGUCUUGAAUUAUAUGGAAGUAGAUAGAAUGUGUAGUGUAGCGGUGAAAUGCUUAGAGAUUACACAGAAUACCGAUUGCGAAGGCAGUCUACUACGUAUAUAUUGACGCUAAUGGACGAAAGCGUGGGGAGCGAACGGGAUUAGAUACCCGAGUAGUC